rnacentral:rRNA from 1 species
CUGACGGAAGACCAUGCUUAGUGGCGCACGGGUGAGUAAUACAUAGGUGACCUACCCUUGGGACGGGGACAACCACUGGAAACGGUGGCUAAUACCGGAUAAGACCACGUGAAGGUGAUUCGCGCGGUAAAAGGAGCAAUCCGCCUGGGGAUGGGCCUGUGGCCUAUCAGGUAGUUGGCAGGGUAAAGGCCUACCAAGCCUAAGACGGGUAGCCGGUCUGAGAGGAUGAACGGCCACACUGGAACUGAGACACGGUCCAGACUCCUACGGGAGGCAGCAGUGAGGAAUUUUGCGCAAUGGGGGAAACCCUGACGCAGCGACGCCGCGUGGAGGAAGAAGGCCCUCGGGUUGUAAACUCCUUUUGCAGGGAAAGAUAAUGACGGUACCCUGCGAAUAAGCCACGGCUAACUCUGUGCCAGCAGCCGCGGUAAGACAGAGGUGGCAAGCGUUGCUCGGAUUCACUGGGCUUAAAGGGCGCGUAGGCGGUUGAUCAAG